UUUCGAACUGGUCGUUUUUGGCCAGUUUUGGCAGAUUUCGAUCGAUUUUAUACUCAUUCAUGCGAGAAAAUACGUUAAAGGAACUCGGUUGGCCGAAAAAAAAUUGAAAAACAAAAACUCAUCGACAGCAGGAUUUUCUGGUGCGGCUGCUCCGCCAACUCACCUUCGCAGUUGGACAUUUUUUUUGCCAACCUGUAGGAAAUAGAAUGGUGAUUACAAUGAUGAAAAAAUCGGACGAAACGGAAAUCAGGAAUGAGCUCAUCGGAGGCAAUUUUUAUUUUUUCCACGGCGAUGCCAUUGGCUU
rnacentral:lncRNA from 1 species